rnacentral:rRNA from 1 species
UACGGGGGGGGCAAGCGUUGUUCGGAAUUACUGGACGUAAAGGGCUCGUAGGUGGCCAACUAAGUCAGACGUGAAAUCCCUCGGCUUAACCGGGGAACUGCGUCUGAUACUGGAUGGCUUGAGUUUGGGAGAGGGACGCGGAAUUCCAGGUGUAGCGGUGAAAUGCGUAGAUAUCGGGAGGAACACCAGUGGCGAAGGCGACUACCUGGCCUGUUCUUGACGCUGAGGCGCGAAGGUCAGGGGAGCAAACGGG